GACGAACGCUGGCGGCGUGCUUAACACAUGCAAGUCGAACGGAAAGGCCCUGCUUGCAGGGUACUCGAGUGGCGAACGGGUGUGUAACACGUGGGUGAUCUGCCCUGCACUUCGGGAUAAGCCUGGGAAACUGGGUCUAAUACCGGUAAGUCGCCAUUUUUAGUGUGAUGGUUGGAAAGUUUUUUCGGUGUAGGAUGAGCUCGCGGCCUAUCAGCUUGUUGGUGGGGUAAUGGCCUACCAAGGCGGCGAUGGGUAGCCGGCCAGAGAGGGUGGACGGCCACACUGGGACUGAGGUGCGGCCCAGACGCCUACGGGUGGCAGAAGGGGGGAAGAUUGCACAAUGGGCGCAAGCCGGAUGCAGCGACGCCGCGGGGGGGAUGACGGCCUUCGGUUUGUAAACUCCUUUCGCGAGGGACGAAGCUUUUUGUGACGGUACCUAGAGAAGAAGCACCGGCUAACUACGUG
rnacentral:rRNA from 1 species